AAAACAUGAUUCGGAGACCGCAUCACGUACUUCUUGAACCUCUCCCAAGCCUCAUAUAAUUGUUCCCCCGGAAGAUCCUUGAACUCAUAAAUUUUAUCUCGGAUUGA